AGGGUUGCUGCUGAUGGCUUAGAGCAGGGCUGUUCAACCUGCGGCCCCCCAGAUGUUGCUGAACUACAACUCCCAUGAUUCCCUGGCUAUAUGUUUAAUUGAAAGAAUCAUGGGAGUUGUAGUUCAGCAACAUCUGGGGGGCCGCAGGUUGGACAACCCUGGCUUAGUGCGUCAGCUGAUGCUCU